rnacentral:tRNA from 1 species
GGCGAGGUAGCUCAGUGGUAGAGCAGGGGACUCAUAAGCCCUUGGUCGGCGGUUCAAAUCCGCCCCUCGCCA